UGGGGAAUAUUGCACAAUGGGCGCAAGCCUGAUGCAGCCAUGCCGCGUGUAUGAAGAAGGCCUUCGGGUUGUAAAGUACUUUCAGUCGGGAGGAAGGUGGUAAGGUUAAUAACCUUAUCAAUUGACGUUACCGACAGAGGAAGCACCGGCUAACUCCGUGCCAGCAGCCGCGGUAAUACGGAGGGUGCAAGCGUUAAUCGGAAUUACUGGGCGUAAAGCGAACGCAGGCGGUUGAUUGAGUCAGAUGUGAAAUCCCCGGGCUUAACCCGGGAAUUGCAUCUGAUACUGGUCAGCUAGAGUCUUGUAGAGGGGGGUAGAAUUCCAUGUGUAGCGGUGAAAUGCGUAGAGAUGUGGAGGAAUACCGGUGGCGAAGGCGGCCCCCUGGACAAAGACUGACGCUCAGGUGCGAAAGCGGGGGGAGCAAACAGG
rnacentral:rRNA from 1 species